GUUUAAUUCUCUUUUACAUUAUGCAUUAGUGGAGCAACAUCCCAAAUAUAUUAGUACGUAGCAUAUAUAGGAUACUUUCCCUACUUUAACCACUGAAAACUGAAGUACCAUAGAACUGUGGGCUUCCUUUCCUUUUUCCUUAUUCUUGAGUUGGAACUAGGUAGGUUGUGUUUUGUCUUAUUGAUAAGAAUAAUCGAAGCAAAAGCAGAUGAAUUUGCACUAAUUACUUCAGCUCCUGCGGAUACGUGUUUUGUUUUCAUAGAGGAAAUGAGGCUUCACAGAGUCAGGACUGGUCCAUGCAGGUCCCUGCUUCGUCGGGGUCCCUUUGGCGGAGCGGAGGCAUUGAGAGAAUGGAGAGAAGCUAGAGAUGGGAAGAAGAGACCUUUCAGGACACCUCUGUACUGAAUUUUCUUUUGUGCUCUUUCAUCCGGAAUACUGAUGUUACUGAAGUAUUGACUUGAAUUGGAGGUCAUCUUAGAAGGCACAUUGGGACUUUGCAAUUUCUUCUAUUUCAACCAUUCAAAAGUGAAAUAUGGCUGUAUGGUGCAGUUCUAGGGUAUCAUGUUUGGAGGUUUGAGGGAUAAUCUUGUAUCAAAAGGGCGUUGGUGGAACUGUUGGGGCUCCAAUGGCCUUUUAUAGGUGGUGCUUGCUGCCAUGCCAGGCUCAGGAACUCAGGAGCCAUUUCGGGAGCUGUGUCACCAGAAUGGAAAGGGGAUAUGCUGCUAGACAUCAUUAUCUGGCCUGAUUUAUUUAUUUAUUUAUUUAUUUAUUUAUUUAUUUAAUUUUUUAAUUUAUUUUAUCUGGCCUGAUUUAAAACUGGUCUCUAUGUUGACGUAUCUGAGUGCUUUCUCAUCCCAUGGUGUCCAUUUCUCACUUUUGCUUCUGUUUAAAGGUGUGUUAAGUAAUAAGGUUGUAUUGUUGAGACAUUUGGGGACAUUUUAAGAAAAAAAAAUUGAUUUGUCCUUGAUCUCUUCUAAGUAUUCAAAAUUUCUGAGAGAAGUAGGUUAAAUUGUUCUAAGGAGGUAAACCGUGCUCCUUCAUUUGUUGUGUUAGGAACAGGUAAUGUCUGCAGAUCGUGCUGAAUUAACAAGACACUGCCCUUCUAUGAAGGAAUACAGUAGCUGGUUAGUCAUGCACAACUGCUUCCUUAAUUUACCUUUUUAAAGCAGGAAAAGCAGAAAAGAUCUAAUGUAUUUAAAACCACAAGAGGGUUGGAGGGAGUGAGAAUGUAAUUUCCCCAGUUGCUGUUUGGCCAUUCCUAAUCAUGAAAAUUGCCAGAAAAUCCUUAAUGGGCACUAGCGGUUUGGAACUUUGAGUUUCACAUGCCUCGCAAGACUGAGCUUGCCUCAGCUGAGUCUUGGACUGGGCAUGCCUAAGCAGGCUUCCCAGUGAUUUUAAUGACAACACACGCUCUGUGAUGUUUUGAAAAGAAAAUGGCCCUUGAGAUUGGAAGAAUCAGCUGUAGUGGGGAAUGACAGAGCACUAAAACCACGUCUGGUUGUCUAAGACACACUUUAGAAUCAAUUCCCUGUACCAUGAUUUACCACAGGUAGGAAAGACUCCAUCCGAACAAUGGUGGUGACACCUGGCAGUUAUCUGGCUUCUACAAUCUGAUGAGGUCAUGGUCCAAGUCAGGACUUUAUAGUGGAGUGACUGCACUAGCCAAUCAAAAUGGAUAUUUAAUAUGAGCUGGGCAAGUCUUGUGCAUGCUGUAUAUUCCAAGAUAUGUCUUCUGAAUAAUCAGAUGACUUAAGUUUCUAUAAGAACUUUUUGACAAUGGUGACUUUAAGCCUGCUUUAAAAAAGAUUUUGUUCUCCAAAAUGAUUAUUUGACAUCAGAAAUUUGUCUGAAUUUUUUUUUUUUUUUUAGCAUUCUAGCCCUUUGAAUGCUAUUAUGCUUCUCCUUAUUUGUUCUUCCCUUAGAUCUUAGUUUUAACUACACUUUCCACUCUAAAGAAGCAAACUGGCAAGUUUCCUCUGCUUGCACUUAUUAUGAAUAAUCCUUAACAUUGAAUAGGGUUUUUUUGGUAAUAUGUCUUUUACAUAAUAAUUAUGUGCAGAUUAGUGUUAUCUUUUGAAACAGCAACUUUAAAUGUGAAAUGAAUAUAAAAGAAGAGAGCUUAAGAACAACACAUUAGAGGAGGUUUUUUAUAGCAAUAAUAAAAUAUUGUAAAUCAAAAUAACA
rnacentral:lncRNA from 12 species